rnacentral:rRNA from 1 species
CGCGCAGGCGGUUAUGCAAGCCUGGUGUGAAAGACCACAGCUCAACUGUGGGAGCGCACUGGGAACUGUGUAACUGGAGUUCAAGGAGGGGGAAGCUGGAAUUCCUGGUGUAGGGGUGAAAUCUGUAGAUAUCAGGAAGAACAUCAGUGGCGAAGGCGAGCUUCUGGCUAUGAACUGACGCUGAGGCGCGAAAGCGGUGGGGAGCAAACA